rnacentral:snoRNA from 1 species
UCAAUAUGAUGAAAAACCUUAUUUUCAGUUCUGCUUCUGAACCAAAACUUUCCUGAAGAUAACCCUAUACCAAAGCUCAAAUUUCUGAUCU